rnacentral:rRNA from 1 species
AUCUCGGGCUUCGGCUCGAUCUUCCGUAGGUGAACCUGCGGAAGGAUCAUUA